rnacentral:tRNA from 1 species
CGGGGUGUGGCGCAGCUUGGUAGCGCGCCUGCUUUGGGAGCAGGAAGUCGCUGGUUCGAAUCCAGUCACCCCGA